rnacentral:tRNA from 1 species
GGCCUCGUAGGUCAGCUGGUAGAGCAUACGCGUACAAAGCGUAGGCGGCGUCCAUGCGUGGGUUCGAAUCCCACCGAGGCUA